AUACGGAGGAUCCGAGCGUUAUCCGGAUUUAUUGGGUUUAAAGGGUGCGCAGGCGGCCAUUUAAGUCAGCGGUUAAAUCGUGGGGCUCAACCCCAUUCUGCCGUUGAUACUGGGUGGCUUGAUUGCGGUCGAGGUUGGCGGAAUUCGUUGUGUAGCGGUGAAAUGCAUAGAUAUGACGAAGAACACCGAUUGCGUAGGCAGCUGACCAGACCGCAAAUGACGCUCAUGCACGAAAGUGCGGGGAUCGAACAGUAUUAGAUACCCUGGUAGUCCGCACAGUAAACGAUGAAUACUUGUUUUCGGCGAUAUAAUGUCGGAGGCAAAGCGAAAGCGAUAAGUAUUCCACCUGGGGAGUACGCCGGCAACGGUGAAACUCAAAUGAAUUGACGGGG
rnacentral:rRNA from 1 species